rnacentral:piRNA from 1 species
UUGAUGGUACUGGAGAAGGACUG